UGGCCGCAGUACCCUGACUGUGCUAAGGUAGCAUAAUAGUUUGGCCUUUAAUUGGGGUCUGGAAUGAAUGAACCCAUGAAGGGGGACUGUCUCUUACUUAGUAGGUGAAAAUACCUACUCAAAAACAUUAGACGAGAAGACCCUUAGAAUUAUGUUUUUGUUGGGGCAACAUGGUCAGAAAUAACUGACCUUAAAAUAUUCUCAGUAAGAAUUUAAUUACCUGAGGGAUAACAGCAUAAUUUCAAUUUAAGAUUGUGACCUCGAUGUUGGACUAGGUAGUUUACCUGUUAG
rnacentral:rRNA from 1 species